rnacentral:rRNA from 1 species
AACGAACGCUGGCGGCAGGCUUAACACAUGCAAGUCGAGCGCCCCGCAAGGGGAGCGGCAGACGGGUGAGUAACGCUUGGGAACAUACCCAACCCUACGGAAUAACCCAGGGAAACUUGGACUAAUACCGUAUACGCCCUUUUGGGGAAAGAUUUAUCGGGGAUGGAUUGGCCCGCGUUGGAUUAGCUAGUUGGUGGGGUAAAGGCCUACCAAGGCGACGAUCCAUAGCUGGUCUGAGAGGAUGAUCAGCCACAUUGGGACUGAGACACGGCCCAAACUCCUACGGGAGGCAGCAGUGGGGAAUAUUGGACAAUGGGCGCAAGCCUGAUCCAGCCAUGCCGCGUGAGUGAUGAAGGCCUUAGGGUUGUAAAGCUCUUUCACCGAUGAAGAUAAUGACGGUAGUCGGAGAAGAAGCCCCGGCUAACUUCGUG